rnacentral:rRNA from 1 species
GACGAACGCUGGCGGCGUGCUUAACACAUGCAAGUCGAGCGGUAAGGCCCUUUCGGGGGUACACGAGCGGCGAACGGGUGAGUAACACGUGGGUGACCUGCCUUCAGCUCUGGGAUAAGCCUGGGAAACUGGGUCUAAUACCGGAUAUGACUCCAUGAUGCAUGUUGUGGGGUGGAAAGCUUUUGCGGCUGGGGAUGGGCCCGCGGCCUAUCAGCUUGUUGGUGGGGUGAUGGCCUACCAAGGCGA